ensembl:lncRNA
AAUAAUGGGAGUGAAAAAAUAAAUAGUUUGGACUGAGAGGCAGUUUGGUGUUGGAUUCAGUGAUCUGACAUGUUCUGUUGUUCUUGGUUACUCCAUUUAUAGUGUUAGCACUUAAAUGCUCCGUAGAAAGCAUAGAUCUCUUUUGAUGUGUUGGAGUGGAGUGGAGGAAUUGUAUUGGGCAUGUGCAAUUCACACUGGACGUAGACUGAUGGGAUUGAUAUUCCAGGACCGGCAGUAUGGUGAUGCCCAUAAAUAAGAGUGUUUAAUUGUGGAGUGUUUUGAGAUGUUGCCUUCCUUCAUCUGACAAUCACAGUGCACCUCUAGAGAGAGAAAAAAAGAUUUUGCUGGGUUUCAGUGAAUGUCAACAAAACAAUUCAUAUGAAGUGUUUGGAUUUAUUCCCCAUUGUGGCUCCCAGAUGAUGACCAUAUUAUCACUGGUGACCAUAUCAUAUUGCUGAAAAUAUGAAUGAAAUGCAAGAGACACUUUUUGUAAGGUACAGUGUUUUUUUUUUUUUAAUCUUUUUAUUUUUUGACAGCAUUAAGUUUGCCACUUGCACUUGAAUGCAUUUCCAAGUUAAUAUUGAUGUUUUGAGCCAUUGUGAGAGAGUUCAAGGCACCCGUGAGCUCAUUGCACCAACAGAACUCUGAAUAUUUAUCUCUCAUGCUGUAUUUACUGAGAAUGAACUUCUGCACUCCAGUAUGAACUGAUCCAUUUCUCCUCUUUUAAAUAAAAAAGAAAUCAGUUGAACAACAGUUGUUUGUUAUGUCUUGUCAUGGCCUAUCAAUUAUAUCAGUCGUGGCCUAAUGGUUAGAGAGUUGGACUUAUAACCGAAAGGUCUGAGUACUAGCAGGGGAUUGUAGGUAGGGGGAGUGAAUGUACAGCGCUCCCUCCCUCCCACCUUCAAUACUACGACUGAGGUGAGACCUUUGAGCAAACCACCAAAUCCCCAACUGCUCACAAUUAAAAUGUGUGUUUGUGUGUUCACCACUUACUGCUGUGUGUCUGCACUUGGAUGGGUUAAAUGCAGAGCACAAAUUCCAUGUAUGGGAGACCAUACUUGGCUACACGUUAUGACACGUUCACGUUCAUUAUACAAAAGUAUAUUAGAAAAGUACAAAAUCUAUUUUUAUUGUUGUAUUAACAAUCAUUUCCAUUAAACGAAACUGAAAUAUAUGUAAGAUGAAAUCAUUUUUUCACUGCUGUCAGUUGUUUUCUAAAACAGUAGCAAAGACAUUUUACGUCAACCUUAUUCAAGAGUAAACACUGCUGGGUAACUGACCUAAAAUCUGUGAUUCUUCAAUAACACUGUGGAUCAAUGUACAAAUACUGCACACAAAAUCAUUGAGAUGUUUAUUUUUCUUCUUUUUUCUUUCUUUGUUUUUUUUCUUGAAUGCCAAGAUUGCGGAAUUCACAUUAUAAAGCCAUGG